rnacentral:lncRNA from 1 species
AAUACUGUAUUCCUUUCUCUGAUUUUUCAGAGCAGUAAUUGAAAAGUUUCACUUUCUGUGUAAUAAUGAACUUAGGUAUUUGAAUGGCAAAAUUGUCCUGAAGAAAUCACCUUGUUAUGUAUUAAAUUUUAUUAAAUGUACUUAAUGUUUGGACACAAAAGGAUGAUAUUAAUGAAAAUUACUAAGGAUUCUUUAAUUGGUUGAAACCUAUAUUAGGAUUUUUUUUUCCCUUUGGUAAUACUCAGAGGGUCAUACUGCUGCUUGUCAAUGUACCAUUGUAUUAGAUUACAUUUGUAUCAGAUUGGUUAAUAUAAUGUAAGUGUUUAUGUAUUAACAGCAAAAACCUCUUCAUAUUGUGAAACUUUUAAGAUAGAAACUAAAAGCAUUUUUGAUAUGACUCAUAGUCUAUUCUGUAAAGAAAGAUUUCAUUUAUGGUAUCAUUUAUAAUGUUUCUGCUGGAAAUCAGAGGCAUGUUA